AGAGUUUGAUCCUGGCUCAGGACGAACUCUGGCGGCGUGCCUAAUACAUGCAAGUAGAACGCUGAAGACUUUAGCUUGCUAAAGUUGGAAGAGUUGCGAACGGGUGAGUAACGCGUAGGUAACCUGCCUACUAGCGGGGGAUAACUAUUGGAAACGAUAGCUAAUACCGCAUAACAGCAUUUAACACAUGUUAGAUGCUUGAAAGAAGCAAUUGCUUCACUAGUAGAUGGACCUGCGUUGUAUUAGCUAGUUGGUGAGGUAAAGGCUCACCAAGGCGACGAUACAUAGCCGACCUGAGAGGGUGAUCGGCCACACUGGGACUGAGACACGGCCCAGACUCCUACGGGAGGCAGCAGUAAGGAGUUUUCGGCAAUGGGGGAAACCCUGACCGAGCAACGCCGCGUGAGCGAUGACGGCCCUAUGGGUUGUAAAGCUCUGUUGUAAGGGACGAAUGAUUUCGCUAGGAAAUGAGCGAGAUUUGACAGUACCUUACCAGAAAGCCACGGCUAACUACGUGCCAGCAGCCGCGGUAAUACGUAGGUGGCAAGCGUUAUCCGGAAUUAUUGGGCGUAAAGAGUGAGCAGGCGGCAUGACAAGUCUGAAGUGAAAGCGUGAGGCUCAACCUCAUACAGCUUUAGAAACUAUCAAGCUAGAGUACGAGAGAGGUAAGUGGAAUUCCUAGUGUAGCGGUGAAAUGCGUAGAUAUUAGGAGGAACACCAGUGGCGAAGGCGGCUUACUAGCCCGAAACUGACGCUCAGUCACGAAAGCGUGGGUAGCAAAUAGGAUUAGAUACCCUAGUAGUCCACGCUGUAAACGAUGAGAACUAAAUAUUGCCGCGAGGCAGUGUUGAAGCUAACGCAUUAAGUUCUCCGCCUGGGGAGUACGGUCGCAAGACUGAAACUUAAAGGAAUUGACGGGACCCCGCACAAGCAGUGGAGCAUGUGGUUUAAUUCGACACUACACGAAGAACCUUACCAGGGCUUGACAUGGAGGCUAACAGUCUAGAGAUAGAUGAAUAUACGCUUCACACAGGUGGUGCAUGGUUGUCGUCAGCUCGUGUCGUGAGAUGUUGGGUUAAGUCCCGCAACGAGCGCAACCCCUUUCCUUAGUUGCCAUCAUUCAGUUGGGAACUCUAAGGAUACUGCCGAUGUAAAUCGGAGGAAGGUGGGGAUGACGUCAAAUCAUCAUGCCCUUUAUGUCCUGGGCGACACACGUGCUACAAUGGUCGGUACAAAGAGAUGCGAAACCGCGAGGGGGAGCUAAUCCCAUAAAGCCGAUCUCAGUUCGGACUGGAGUCUGCAACUCGACUCCACGAAGCUGGAAUUGCUAGUAAUCGUAGAUCAGCCAUGCUACGGUGAAUACGUUCCCGGGGUUUGCACUCACCGCCCGUCAA
rnacentral:rRNA from 1 species